rnacentral:lncRNA from 1 species
CCCGCGCAGCUGCCCCGGCCCUGAUUGAAAGUUGAUAAAUGGCUCCCUGUUUCACUCUACCAAAGUUACUGCAAUCGAACUGGCAAAUAUUUACCUUGGAAUCCGAGUGACUGAAAAUAUUUGAUGAGAAUCAGCUUCAGAAGCGUUGCCUGACUGAUCCAAGAGCUGGGAUUGGAACCCAGACAGUCUGACUCUCUCAGCUCUUUGCCUCCCCUUGAGAACGGCGGUUGUGAGGUGCGUCUCUGGCCUGCAGUUCCACGUGUGAGGGGAAUGAGACUCAUGCUGCUGUUUAGGAGGCUUUGUGUCUGUGGCCAAAGAUGAGGAAACUAAGGCCAGAGUGGGAAGUGACUGGCCUAAGGUUAUACAUCUUGUUGUCUAUACUUGGAAUGGAAAAAAAGUAUCUGACUAUCCCUGAGGCUGGCAGAUAUGCAGUCAAACCGCACUCCUUUGACGACGUGCUAAACAAGAUUUUCCUUCCUAAUAUAUGUAGGUCACACCCAAUCAACUGAAGACCAAACCAAU